UACAGAGGUCUCAAGCGUUGUUCGGAUUCAUUGGGCGUAAAGGGUGCGUAGGCGGCGCGGUAAGUCGGGUGUGAAAUCUCGGAGCUUAACUCCGAAACUGCAUUCGAUACUGCCGUGCUUGAGGACUGGAGAGGAGACUGGAAUUUACGGUGUAGCAGUGAAAUGCGUAGAUAUCGUAAGGAAGACCAGUGGCGAAGGCGGGUCUCGUGGACAGUUCCUGACGCUGAGGCACGAAGGUCAGGGGAGCAAACGGG
rnacentral:rRNA from 1 species